UACGUAGGGGGCAAGCGUCGUCCGGAAUCAUUGGGCGUAAAGAGCGCGUAGGCGGUUCGGUAAGUCCGCUGUGAAAGUCAAGGGCUCAACCCUUGAAUGCCGGCGGAUACUGUCGGACUAGAGUCCGGAAGAGGCGAGUGGAAUUCCUGGUGUAGCGGUGAAAUGCGCAGAUAUCAGGAGGAACACCUAUGGCGAAGGCAGCUCGCUGGGACGUUACUGACGCUGAGACGCGAAAGCCAGGGGAGCAAACGGG
rnacentral:rRNA from 1 species